ncrna:unclassified sequences RAGATH-10 RNA
GAAACCUCAUCUUCGAUCUAUGCCAUACGGGUGUCGAUCAGUGCUUUUUAGCACGAGCGUCCGCUCGGAUGAGGAGAAGGU